rnacentral:rRNA from 1 species
UAACGCGUGAGAAUCUGCCAAAAGGACGGGGAUAACAGAGGGAAACCGCUGCUAAUACCGGAUAAACCUACGGGGGAAAGAUUAAUUGCCUUUUGAUGAGCUCGCGGCCGAUUAGCUAGUUGGUAAGGUAAAGGCUUACCAAGGCGACGAUCGGUAGCCGGUCUGAGAGGACGAUCGGCCACACUGGGACUGAGACACGGCCCAGACUCCUACGGGAGGCAGCAGUGGGGAAUUUUCCGCAAUGGGCGAAAGCCUGACGGAGCAAGACCGCGUGAGGGAGGAAGGCUCUUGGGUUGUAAACCUCUUUUCUCAGGGAAGAAUAGAUGACGGUACCUGAGGAAUCAGCAUCGGCUAACUCCGUGCCAGCAGCCGCGGUAAUACGGAGGAUGCAAGCGUUAUCCGGAAUGAUUGGGCGUAAAGAGUCCGUAGGUGGCACUUCAAGUCUGUUGUCAAAGGUCACGGCUUAACUGUGGAAAGGCAGUGGAAACUGAAGAGCUAGAGAAAGGUAGGGGCAGAGGGAAUUCCCGGUGUAGCGGUGAAAUGCGUAGAGAUCGGGAAGAACACCAGUGGCGAAAGCGCUCUGCUGGACCUAUCUGACACUGAGCGAGAAAGCUAGGGGAGCGAAUGCGAUUAGAUACCCCAGAUUUUCCGGCGUUAU